rnacentral:rRNA from 1 species
UGGGGAAUAUUGGACAAUGGGCUCAAGCCUGAUCCAGCCAUGCCGCGUGAGUGAUGAAGGCCCUAGGGUUGUAAAGCUCUUUCACCGGUGAAGAUAAUGACGGUAUCCGGAGAAGAAGCCCCGGCUAACUUCGUG